GAUAUUAUAGCAUAGGGGUUAUGCAGAGUACUGUUAAUGCUUUUUACAGAGGUUCGAAUCCUCUUAAUAUCU